GGACAUUGGUGACAGGUGGUGCAUGGUUGUCGUCAGCUCGUGUCGUGAGAUGUUGGGUUAAGUCCCGCAACGAGCGCAACCCUUGUCUUUAGUUGCCAUCAUUAAGUUGGGCACUCUAGAGAGACUGCCAGGGAUAACCUGGAGGAAGGUGGGGAUGACGUCAAAUCAUCAUGCCCCUUAUGCUUAGGGCUACACACGUGCUACAAUGGGUAGUACAGAGGGUUGCCAAGCCGUAAGGUGGAGCUAAUCCCUUAAAGCUACUCUCAGUUCGGAUUGUAGGCUGAAACUCGCCUACAUGAAGCUGGAGUUACUAGUAAUCGCAGAUCAGAAUGCUGCGGUGAAUGCGUUCCCGGGUCUUGUACACACCGCCCGUCACACCACGGGAGUUGGAGACGCCCGAAGCCGAUUAUCUAACCUUUUGGAAGAAGUCGUCGAAGGUGGAAUCAAUAACUGGGGUGAAGUCGUAACAAGGUAGCCGUAUCGGAAGGUGCGGCUGGAUC
rnacentral:rRNA from 1 species